CUACGGGUCGCUGCAGUGGGGAAUAUUGGACAAUGGGCGCAAGCCUGAUCCAGCAAUGCCGCGUGUGUGAAGAAGGCCUGAGGGUUGUAAAGCACUUUCAAUUGUGAAGAAAAGUAAGUAGUUAAUACCUAUUUACCCUGACAUUAGCUUUAGAAGAAGCACCGGCUAACUCCGUGCCAGCAGCCGCGGUAAUACGGAGGGUGCAAGCGUUAAUCGGAAUUACUGGGCGUAAAGCGUGCGUAGGUGGUUUGUUAAGUUAGAUGUGAAAUCCCUGGGCUUAACCUAGGAACUGCAUUUAAAACUGGCAAACUAGAGUAUAGUAGAGGAAAGUGGAAUUUCUGGUGUAGCGGUGAAAUGCGUAGAUAUCAGAAGGAACAUCAAUGGCGAAGGCAGCUUUCUGGACUAAUACUGACACUGAGGUACGAAAGCGUGGGUAGCAAACAGGAUUAGAUACCCGUGUAGUC
rnacentral:rRNA from 1 species